rnacentral:rRNA from 1 species
GACGAACGCUGGCGGCGCGCCUAACACAUGCAAGUCGAACGAGCGAGAGAGAGCUUGCUUUCUCGAGCGAGUGGCGAACGGGUGAGUAACGCGUGAGGAACCUGCCUCAAAGAGGGGGACAACAGUUGGAAACGACUGCUAAUACCGCAUAAGCCCACGGGUCGGCAUCGACCAGAGGGAAAAGGAGCAAUCCGCUUUGAGAUGGCCUCGCGUCCGAUUAGCUAGUUGGUGAGGUAACGGCCCACCAAGGCAACGAUCGGUAGCCGGACUGAGAGGUUGAACGGCCACGUUGGGACUGAGACACGGCCCAGACUCCUACGGGAGGCAGCAGUGGGGAAUAUUGCACAAUGGGGGAAACCCUGAUGCAGCGACGCCGCGUGGAGGAAGAAGGUCUUCGGAUUGUAAACUCCUGUUGUUGGGGAAGAUAAUGACGGUACCCAACAAGGAAGUGACGGCUAACUACGUGCCAGCAGCCGCGGUAAAACGUAGGUCACAAGCGUUGUCCGGAAUUACUGGGUGUAAAGGGAGCGCAGGCGGGAAGACAAGUUGGAAGUGAAAUCUAUGGGCUCAACCCAUAAACUGCUUUCAAAACUGUUUUUCUUGAGUAGUGCAGAGGUAGGCGGAAUUCCCGGUGUAGCGGUGGAAUGCGUAGAUAUCGGGAGGAACACCAGUGGCGAAGGCGGCCUACUGGGCACCAACUGACGCUGAGGCUCGAAAGUGUGGGUAGCAAACAGGAUUAGAUACCCUGGUAGUCCACACCGUAAACGAUGAUUACUAGGUGUUGGAGGAUUGACCCCUUCAGUGCCGCAGUUAACACAAUAAGUAAUCCACCUGGGGAGUACGACCGCAAGGUUGAAACUCAAAGGAAUUGACGGGGGCCCGCACAAGCAGUGGAGUAUGUGGUUUAAUUCGACGCAACGCGAAGAACCUUACCAAGUCUUGAUAUCCCUUGACAGACAUAGAAAUAUGUAUUCUCUUCGGAGCAAGGAGACAGGUGGUGCAUGGUUGUCGUCAGCUCGUGUCGUGAGAUGUUGGGUUAAGUCCCGCAACGAGCGCAACCCUUAUGGUCAGUUACUACGCAAGAGGACUCUGGCCAGACUGCCGUUGACAAAACGGAGGAAGGUGGGGAUGACGUCAAAUCAUCAUGCCCUUUAUGACUUGGGCUACACACGUACUACAAUGGCGUUAAACAAAGAGAAGCAAGACCGCGAGGUGGAGCAAAACUCAGAAACAACGUCCCAGUUCGGACUGCAGGCUGCAACUCGCCUGCACGAAGUCGGAAUUGCUAGUAAUCGUGGAUCAGCAUGCCACGGUGAAUACGUUCCCGGGCCU